CCGAGUUUACAACUCCCAAACCCCUGUGAACAUACCUAACGUUGCCUCGGCGGGAAAGCCCCGGGCGUUGGCGCAAGCCUCGCACCGGUAUCAGGCGCCCGCCGGAGGACCAAACCAAACUCUUGUAUUCUAAAGAAUCUUCUGAGUAACCAUAAGUAAUAAAUUA
rnacentral:misc_RNA from 1 species